rnacentral:rRNA from 1 species
GAGUUUGAUCCUGGCUCAGGAUGAACGCUGGCGGCGCGCCUAACACAUGCAAGUCGAACGGCACCUGCCUUCGGGCAGAAGCGAGUGGCGAACGGCUGAGUAACACGUGGAGAACCUGCCCCCUCCCCCGGGAUAGCCGCCCGAAAGGACGGGUAAUACCGGAUACCCCGGGGUGCCGCAUGGCACCCCGGCUAAAGCCCCGACGGGAGGGGAUGGCUCCGCGGCCCAUCAGGUAGACGGCGGGGUGACGGCCCACCGUGCCGACAACGGGUAGCCGGGUUGAGAGACCGACCGGCCAGAUUGGGACUGAGACACGGCCCAGACUCCUACGGGAGGCAGCAGUGGGGAAUCUUGCGCAAUGGGGGGAACCCUGACGCAGCGACGCCGCGUGCGGGACGGAGGCCUUCGGGUCGUAAACCGCUUUCAGCAGGGAAGAGUCAAGACUGUACCUGCAGAAGAAGCCCCGGCUAACUACGUGCCAGCAGCCCGGUAAUUC